UAGUCCAUGCCGUAAACGAUGUCAACUAGCCGUUGGGAGCAAUUAAGCUCUUAGUGGCGCAGCUAACGCGAUAAGUUGACCGCCUGGGGAGUACGCCGGCAACGGUAAAACUCAAAUGAAUUGACGGGGGCCCGCACAAGCGGUGGAGCAUGUGGUUUAAUUCGAUGCAACGCGAAAAAACCUUACCUACCCUUGACAUCCUCAGAACUUGUUAGAGAUAACUUGGUGCCUUCGGGAACUGAGUGACAGGUGCUGCAUGGCUGUCGUCAGCUCGUGUCGUGAGAUGUUCGGUUAAGUCCGGCAACGAGCGCAACCCACGUCUUUAGUUACCAGCAUUUAGUUGGGUACCCUAGAGAGACCGCCGGUGAUAAGCCGGAGG
rnacentral:rRNA from 1 species